GGCCCUGUCGUCUAGUGGCCUAGGACGCCGGCCUCUCAAGCCGGUAACACGGGUUCGAAUCCCGUCAGGGCUG
rnacentral:tRNA from 1 species